GCCACGGCUCACAAAUUAAUCAAACAUUAAUUUAUCCUCAAUAAAGAUGAAACAUUAGCAUGAUCAUGAGUCACAAAUGAUCAAAAUUAACACAUUAGCGUGGAUCACUUUUGAUCAGUUAUAAUAUUAGAAUGGAUCACGAUUGAUCGAUUAAAAACCUUUAGCAUGGAUCACGAUUGAUCAAUUAUAACGUUAGCAUGGAUCAAGAAUGAUCAAUU
rnacentral:lncRNA from 1 species